CAAAAAGUAGCUUAAAACUAAAGCAUUCAACUUACAAUUGAUAGACGUUAAUCACACUUAACCUUUUUGC
rnacentral:tRNA from 1 species